AUGAGUUUUGGACAGAAUGGAAUUUUCAUUCUGACUCUUUUACGAGGUGUCCAUUGUGAGGUUCACCUGGUAGAGUCUGAGGGUGGUGUGAGACAGCCUGGAGGAUCUCUUUCCCUCUCCUGCAAACCUUCUGGAUUCACCUUCAGCAUCUAUUACAUUAGCUGGGUCCUCCAGGCUCCAGGGAAGGGACUCGAGUGGCACGCAUCUAUUUAUAGUAACGUAGGAAAAACAUUCUAUGCAGACUCUGUGAAAGGCAGAUUCACCAUCUCCCUGAACUACAGCAACGACGUGCUGCAUCUGCAAAUGAAUUCCCUUAAAGCUGAGGACACAGCCAUGUAUUACUGUGCAAGAGACACAGUGAGAAAAAGGAGUACGAGAGCACACAUAAAACUCCUCAUUCAGACAGGCCACAUGGAGAGUGACUUAGAGAGAGAACUCAAGAACACGGAGUACAAGGAGACCACUUAGAAUAACAGAUGAAGCAUGAGGCUGCAAAAUUUGAAGAAUCAGGCU